rnacentral:rRNA from 1 species
UGGGGAAUAUUGCACAAUGGGCGCAAGCCUGAUGCAGCCAUGCCGCGUGUGUGAAGAAGGCCUUAGGGUUGUAAAGCACUUUCAGCGAGGAGGAAGGCAUCAUACUUAAUACGUGUGGUGAUUGACGUUACUCGCAGAAGAAGCACCGGCUAACUCCGUGCCAGCAGCCGCGGUAAUACGGAGGGUGCAAGCGUUAAUCGGAAUUACUGGGCGUAAAGCGCACGCAGGCGGUUUGUUAAGUCAGAUGUGAAAUCCCCGCGCUUAACGUGGGAACUGCAUUUGAAACUGGCAAGCUAGAGUCUUGUAGAGGGGGGUAGAAUUCCAGGUGUAGCGGUGAAAUGCGUAGAGAUCUGGAGGAAUACCGGUGGCGAAGGCGGCCCCCUGGACAAAGACUGACGCUCAGGUGCGAAAGCGUGGGGAGC